AAUAUAAAUAUUCUCUCUUAAAAUAAUUAAAUUGUACACAGUGUAUACGUAUUAAUAGUUAAAAAAUAAAUUUCAAACCCUAAGAUUACCACAUUGGAUAUCAUUUACUUAAAAAUGCGAUCAAUGACGAUAUAUGUAUACAUACUCUUAACAUAAAUGGACAAUUGGCAUAAAGUACACCUUUGCAAAUGUACUAUGUAGAAGAAACAUAACUUGGCCAGAAACGGUAACAGAGAACUGUAGAUGACUCGUUUUUUAUUGACGACUUGUGUGAAGUUAAUUACUAUGCUAAGGAUAUUAUUUUUAACUUCUAUAUCAAAUGGAUUACCAUAACUUGAAUAACCAGAAUGCAAUUGGUAGUUAAUUGUUAUCCAGCAACAACACAGUGAGCCUGAAUGUGUAGUUAUCUUUAAAUUUGAAACAUCCUUCUUCUGUUUCGGGUCUCUCCUGAUGUUUUCGUGAGCCGCCUUGUACAUAUUUUCCAACUUCAAAUAAUAAAAUGUGUAGAUACUCUUAAUAUAAAUGGACAAUUGGCAUAAAGUACACCUUUGCAAAUGUACUAUGGAGAAGAAAAAUAACUUGGCCAGAAACGGUAACAGAGAACUGUAGAUGACUCGGUUUUUAUUGACGACUUGAGUGAAGUCAAUUACUAUGCUAAGGAUAUUAUUUUUAACUUCUAUAUCAAAUGGAUUACCAUAACUUGAAUUACCAGU